CUUCUUCAUCAGAUCCAAUAAAUGCAGCUUCAUCCUCACUCUGGGUGAAUUCUGAGACAUGAUUUAACUGCCCCUGUUCCUCUGAUGUCCAAUUAUUUUUGUGGUCUUCUUCUAGAGAAAGACCAAUUUCUUUCUUCAUUUGCUCUAUGGUUCUUUCCAAUUCAGAAAUGUGCUGACUAAGAGCCUCAUGACGUUGCAUAGCAACAGAACGCUUCAGUGCUUUUGCCUUUGUCAGGAGAUUUCUUGGCCUCAUGUUAAUGGGUCGUCGAU
rnacentral:misc_RNA from 1 species